rnacentral:misc_RNA from 1 species
UUUUUGUAUGAAUAUUCUACUUACGUAACAAUACUACGUGUAUUCAACUAUCAAAACUCGGCUGCGUAUGAGAUUUUUAUUUUUGUUUUGAAUUAAGUAGUUGUUUACAUCAUGGCCACCCACAGUGCGCAGUCACCUGACAUACUUCUGACGUAUGACACAUACAAACUUAGACCCAACCUAUCCUUGGUAUGUUUACUGUUUUCUUUCUCAAUUGUGCACGUGCAAAUCGUUGUUUCUUUCAUUGUCAGUGGAAAUGAUUAAAACUCAAUACGCAAAAAGGCUAAUAAACUCAUUCAAGUCCUAAUAUCACAAUUGAUAUUACGUUUCAGUAGUAGAAUUUCAUGACAAAGCUAUAUUGUUGACAGACUGCAGAGUAUGUUUCGAAGAAAAGGGAGAGGGGAAAGACAAUUUGACAACGUGGAUUACACACAACUCACCGAAACCGAUAAUGGUUUCGUAGAUGCACAAUUUUUAAGUCCACCUGUAAAAAUUCCAUGGAAGGCAAUUACUUUGGCAGCACUACUGUUCAUCGGAGGAACUGUUAUGCUUAUUGUAGGCAGCCUAAUAAUAAGUGGACACAUUGAUUCUAAGUACGCAGAUCGCAUGUGGCCAGUGAUAAUUCUGGGUAUUCUGAUGUUUAUCCCUGGGGCCUACCACGUUAGAGUAGCGAUUCUUGCCCACCGGAAAGUACCAGGCUACUCUUUUGACGACAUACCAGAGUUUGAUUAGCAAAUUUUUGUACAUAGCGUAAUAUACCAAAAUGUGCUUUUUACUAUUCUACAUGGAUAGUGCGAAACAAAUAAUAUACACAUUGGAAUCAUAUAUUAAUAGCAUUGAGGUAUUCUAGAUUUCAUUUAUUGCCUACGUGUACAUUGAGAAAUUGAGAAAAAACGACUGAACAAUGUGUCAGACUUUGGUACUGAACUAUUUUAGUACACAGAGUAUAAGCCGUGAGAUCUAAUCUCCUGCAGUCUCUUGAUAAAAUACGGCAAAGCAUUUCACUCACAAUUUUAACUGGUUUUUAUAAACUUCUCAUGGCACCCACAUGUGGUUUGAGAUUCUUACUUGUUUGCUAGUGUAUUUAAAAUAAUAGUCACUAAUUGUAUUUGGCGGUUUGCUAAGUGGAAGCUGAAGUUCAGUCUCAUUGGUUAUAAGAUUGGUUUGUACAUAAAAGGCAAGAAAAAAAUUUAGUGCAGUUAACAAUGAUAAUAAUACAAUUGUUUAGAAUUCUGGGACCGAAUGAGGCGUAUUUAAAUAUGCGCAUUUAUGAUCUUUGUGAACAUGAUUUCACUCUCAUCAACAUUCGCUGUCAGUAUUUAAUAUUUUGAGUUAAUGUGACGUUCAUAAAAUAAAAUGAUCAAACUGUAGAGUAUAAAAAUAUUUUGUAGAUGGAUUCUAUGCCUGUGAUUGCGGUUGAGAUGUAUGAUGAAAUCUGGGAGAGAUACAGUCAGUGAAGGAAGUUAAAAAAACGAAAGGCUCAGUGAUAUUUCGCCAGAAAAUUGAUAAUGUUAUAGAGUUUUCAAUUUGAUUGUCAUUCUAUCAUAUCUAUUGAUGGCGCUUAGAAUUCAGCACUACUAUGAUUGAGGAGAAAAACAAUAUAAAAUGAGGAAUAUGAGAUCGCACAAAUGAUGUUCAAUAGUCGACAUUUGAAUAUAUCCUAUAAAAAAACGUUCACUGUAAAACUAACUUUGCUAAUAUUUUUUCCUUAUAGCCUAAAUAAAACAAAUAUUCUUCAACGAUCUACUGGCAUCUAAUUACCGGGUGAAAGUCUAUCAAAUAAAAUUUUCAUUCAACGUCCAGCAGGAUGAUAGUUCAGUUUCACAUGGACUACUAAACACAAUCCCAUGAACUAUUAUUAUUCAUAUUUAAUUUUAGCCUUGAGCGUUAUGCAAGU